AGGAACACGCGACUCCCCGCUGCAGUCUCCCGCCACUACAGCAGCUUACGAAGAACUCGACCACUAGAGCGGCGCCAGACUGCAGGUGUAUAUAUUCAACACCACUUUUCCUCAUCCGGAGUGACACAGACGCUGGGUAAAUCUCUCAUCUGUCCUGGUUGUUGGGCCCCUCGCAAGCAGGAGUUCUGUGGCACCACGAGGGGUUUCAUAGGGUCUAGAGAGAGAGACGGAGGGCAUCUCACUCCCCUCACACCUUUAUGUGCAUUAGAACCUGUUUACGGUGUGUAGUGAAGUCCUCUGGAACAGCAUCUGGAAAAGAUGUUACACUUGCUUUGUGAGUGUGCUGUUUUUAGUGUUGUAAUGCUGAGGGGUUUUUUUUGUCAAUAAACAACUUUUAAUCAGAA